rnacentral:rRNA from 1 species
UAGGAUGGGGAUGCGUCUGAUUAGGUUGUUGGCGGGGUAACGGCCCACCAAGCCCACGAUCAGUAGGGGUUCUGAGAGGAAGGUCCCCCACAUUGGAACUGAGACACGGUCCAAACUCCUACGGGAGGCAGCAGUGAGGAAUAUUGGUCAAUGGACGGAAGUCUGAACCAGCCAAGUAGCGUGCAGGAUGACGGCCCUAUGGGUUGUAAACUGCUUUUAUAUAGGGAUAAAGUCGGGGACGUGUCCCCGUUUGUAGGUACUAUAUGAAUAAGGACCGGCUAAUUCCGUGCCAGCAGCCGCGGUAAUACGGAAGGUCCGGGCGUUAUCCGGAUUUAUUGGGUUUAAAGGGAGCGCAGGCUGAUGAUUAAGCGUGACGUGAAAUGUAGCCGCUCAACGGCUGAACUGCGUCGCGAACUGGUUAUCUUGAGUGAGUUCGAUGUUGGCGGAAUUCGUGGUGUAGCGGUGAAAUGCUUAGAUAUCACGAAGAACUCCGAUUGCGAAGGCAGCCAACAAGGCCUUUACUGACGCUAAAGCUCGAAGGUGCGGGUAUCGAACAGGAUUAGAUACCCUGGUAGUCCGC